ACAAAAGGGCCAACACACAAAGUGCACAAGGACAUAACAAUCAAAAUGUCAUUACUCAAAUUUCAUCUUAGAUAGUGAUGCCGCCCAACACUAUUGCUUGGCAAGCCAACACUGAUUAUAUAGUAAACCCUCACUCAUGUGGUUAGUACACGAUAACUUCUAUUUAGACUAGAUAAGUUUUGGCCCGUGCUCCAAUCUUGUAAAAGCGAACGGUAAUUUAAUAUUACUAUCUUUGUCGUAACAUGCAAUUGCAGAAUGAAGAGAUUGAAACAUCUAAAUAAGUAAUAUCAAACCAGAUAUAUAUAGCAUAGCCAACUAACUGUUUCAUAUUUACAUGCAUUUAUGGACAAUAUUUCCGUUGUACAAAGGUUAAUAAAACAUCUGCUACAGGGUUGCAGAACAAUGCAUAAAAUGACACAUUCUUUAUAUCCUUUACACUAAUCUAUUUACAUAUGUACUAUUUACAUAUUAACAAUAUGUAAUGCAACUAAACUACAAUGCUGCAAUUAGUCUCCAAGUUUUGCAGGAUAUGACAAUAAUAUUAGCACUUGUAGAAAUCAUUUCUUCGCAUUAGCCCAACUCAAUUCUUGUCACAUAAUGUAGCCAGGGUGGGGAACUUGCAGCAAACAACAAAUAUAGAAUUUGGUAAAGUUGAGAAGAAAAGCGUCGUGUUAUGCAGUAAAAUUACCAUGUAAGUCAAAAUUUGCAAAAGGUAAGAAAUGAAAAUAAAAUGUCAAAAGCUAAUCAAAUAACUUACCGGUGAUGUGUGGCUUUGGCCGGUUAAGUAAAGAUUAGAAAAAUAGUGUGGAAGAUAAAAGAUUGAUCGCGUUUCAAGUAUUCGCCUUACAGCCUUAGUUUGGUCAGCAACAGCUUAAAAUAUUACAUCUUAAUAAGUCAUAUAUUUUCUUUGAUCAGUUAAAAAGUUGCAUGUUCUGGAGGAUACCUAAAAGAAAUCGAGAGCAGAGAUCUCUAAUAAAGAGGAUGCCCAUAUGAUAAUCUAGAUUAGUGUGUAGGAUCCAGUAAAAAUUACAAUAUCAGUUUAGCAUAGUUUCUUCCAAGUUAGAAAAGAAAGAAAAGAUGGGAGGGACUCUGGACAAGAAAUUUCUCAUCAAGCAACUUCAUAGAGGAUAGCGAACUGGAAGUAAAAUUUAUUAUUCUCUGAAAAUUGUUCAUUCAAUGAUUAUACAUCGGCAUAUUUUUAUCUAUAAUUAAUAUUCGCAGAAUCAGUACACUACUCAAUGAAUAAAUUGAUUAAUAAAGUUUUAAUAAUAAAAUAAUAAAAAAUAAUAGUAGUACAAUAUUCACUUUACUUAAAGUGUAAGAAAGUUACUUUACGAAAAGUUUAGUCAUUUACCGUUUAGUAUAAGUAUCGAUUCGUUUCAUGCAAAUGAUUAAGCAUUUGACAGUCUGGCCAUAAUAUCAUACCAAACUCUCCAAAGCUUGCACCUUAUUCUCUUCAAGUCAUAACAUCAUACCAAACUCUCUAAAGCUUGCACCUUAUUCUCUUCAAGUCAACUACUGUUAAACUCAAGAAAAAUUGACCUUAACAUAAUGUAAGUAAUUGAAGAUCCAAAGAAUACUAAAGACUAAAGUUUGGGGCAAGGGGCGAAAAGAAGACAUGGGAAAUAAUUUUUUUAAAAAAAGAGUGCUAACACCUAUUUGUUUUUUUUAUAACCAAGUAUAUGAUAAAAAAUAAAAUAUUUUUUUUGCAGUUAUAGCAAAAAUACUCUAUUAAAAAUGAGUAACUUCAUUAUAGUUUCUCCUAUACCCCAUUUUGAAAAAUGCAGAUAAAUUGAAGAUCUAGUCGAGAUAUUCAAGAUGAGUUUAUGGUAGCAUGAAUCAUCAAAUAAUGAAACUCCUAGGUUUUUAGUCAUUUGGUUCGUGGUCCUAUGAAUCCUUUUGAAAGAAAGUUAUAUGCACGGUUAAGCUGAAAAAGCUAUUCUCUAUCCUAGAUUAGGAUGUACAUAAUCAUGUCUCAGUCUAACUCGACGCUAAGCACAAUGUAUCAUAUUUUCAUGCAAGUUGUCUGCUCUGGCUAAUAAUAUGACAUAUACUGGUUCCAAAUGCACAUAUCAUCAAAAUACCUAACUUCUUGAUCUGUCAUCCACGAACUGCUGAUUCCUAACGGUUGCGCAGUCACUUUGAUGUUCUUGUCCACCUUUAAUAUAAGACAUAAUCGUAGAUUCUAACUUAAAGACCCUUCUUUGUCCUUGUACAGAUUUAACAUGAAAAAACUUUUAUUCAGCUAAAAAACUGCCAAACAGACUUAAAAACAUACAAGGAUAUUAUUGAUACGGCUAGAACUGUCAAAACAACUCUCACAUUAUCACUGAAAUUAAAUUUACAAACACAAAUCAAAAAGAGAAUUUUGAAACUCUAAUUCUCCCCUCUCCUCCAAGACAAUUACUUUCCUCGUAAAGGAGUAUGACAUACUUUAGUAAACAAGAAAUAAAUCAGCUUGGUGUGACCUUAUUUUCUCGAUUUUAGAAGAGUGCUCUAAACCAACAAGAUUGUUUAUCAAACCAAAUAGACAGAACUUCUAUGCAUGUAUUCAUCUAUUUUGGAAUAGGAUGAGUCUAUUUCAAAAUUUCACAAAGCCCUCAAUUCUUAAGUACCUCAUGCCUUUAUCUAUUGGUUCUAUAUGGUCUUUAAGACAAUGCUUUUAGAUUUUGGUGGGUUUACCUCACGCCUCAAUUCUUAACCACCUUGUGCCAAUUUUCAUUAAGCUAACAUGUUGCAACUUCUUAUAUGGGGGUAUUCUAUUUAUGGGCGUAGAAUAUACUAAUUGAUGCUGGAGUCGUAGGUUUGACUUACGGUGCAUUUCUAUCAAUGUUUCCAUCUUUAGAACAACUUUUGAAACUUCAACUUGUGGAGAAUUUAUGUUAUACUUCAGAUAGAGUUGUAUAAGCAAUCACCACAUCAGAAGAACCCUAAAAGUUUCUAGAUUCAGUUAGGUCUAAGUUAGCGUAGGGAGAGGCAGAUUUCCAAAGUAAUUCGGAACAGAUCGUGCAUCCUUUAGUACUGAUCCUUUAAAGUAGUAAUUUGGUGGAAACCAAAGAUCUUGAGAAUCUAAUAAAUAUACAGAAAGAAAUAUUGCAACAUAAGUAAGAAUCAUUCAAUACAUAUAACCGCACUUCUACAUUAUAAAAAUAAAUUCAAUUAAAUGACCAUCUUUCUCAAAAUAGAGUUAAAGAAAAACCCUGUUAGUCAUUUUC
rnacentral:lncRNA from 1 species